rnacentral:rRNA from 1 species
AUGAACGCUGGCGGCGUGCCUAAUACAUGCAAGUCGAACGGAGAUGUUGUAGCAAUACUUCAUCUUAGUGGCGAACGGGUGAGUAACGCGUUGGUGACCUGCCCCGAAGAGGGGGAUAACAGUCCGAAAGGAUUGCUAAUACCCCAUACGGUCCUGGAGUUUAGAAGUUCAUGACCAAAGGAGUAAUUCGCUUCGGGAGGGGCCUGCGUCCCAUCAGCUAGUUGGUAAGGUAACGGCUUACCAAGGCGACGACGGGUAGGGGACCUGAGAGGGUGGCCCCCCACAAUGGAACUGAAACACGGUCCAUACACCUACGGGUGGCAGCAGUAGGGAAUAUUAGUUAAUGUGCGAAAGCGCGAACUAGCAACGCCGCGUGUGCGAUGAAGGCCUUCGGGUCGUAAAGCACUUUUCGAGAAGAUGAGAAAGGACAGUACUCUCGGAAUAAGUCUCGGCUAACUACGU